UUAAAUCUUGCAAUUAAGGAAAUAAAGUAAUAUAUUUGACCUAGUCAUUUGUGUUCUCGUUUAUAGGCGUGCAUAUUGUUCCGUUCCAACCCUAGCACAUCUCUUUCUUUUUUGCAGCCUUCUUUAGCAACCAACGAGAAUGUUUGAUUAGAGAUAGCUUCAACAUGAAUCUUCCAGAUUUUCGUUUCAGCCAGCCUUCAUCUUCCAGAUUUUCGUUUCAACUUGAACACCGAUGGAUGUUUGAUUAGAGAUAACUUCAACACGAAUCUUGAAGAGGAAGGGGCUCGCUUGUGUGCUCUCGUUAGGGCUUCUUUCCGUCGUGUUUCAUGAGACGACAUCACAUUCGCCGCCUGUUAGCACGGUGGAGUCCUCCCACUUCGGUAACAUCACCUGCCCGGCUUUCACUUCCGCCAGACCUUCUACUACUUGGAGCUGUAUGAGAUGCUUAAAGGGUUCUGAUUGUGGAUUAUGUGCUUCACAAACUAAUAAGGUAUACCUUCAGAAUUUGGUCUUCAGAAUUCUGCCUUUAAAGUGUUUAUGAAAAGUCCUCAACGAAUGAGAGUGACAAUGAGUACACUCUAUAAGGGGUUGCAUUCUUGGAACAUUAUUCAAAGCAUGUGAAUAUGAGGCCUUUACAAAGCAGCAUUAUCGCGAGCUUUGAGGCAUGAGUAAAUAUGAAACAAAAAGAAAGUUGACUCAGUAAAAGCCUGAAUUGGAGAAAUAUGCAGACUUUUAUACAUUUUUGUGAGAGGAGCAGAGAAAACUUGAAGUAAACCCACGAUUGCAUCGGGCAAUGGGAAGAUGUUGACAUAUAUUUUACUGAUGCACAUGUAAGUCUUUGUUAUUAUUCAUUGAUUCUUUUUCUACAUAGAAUGUUGUGAAUGGAGUAGCAUAUGAUUGAUUUAUAUGAUAUUUGUGAAUAGUCUUUUAAUAAACACGCGCUGUAAUAUGUUUUUGAAAUUUGUAAAUAUAGCUUGUUCAAGGCUUGUUUUCAUGUUAGUAUGAAUGUUAUUAAGUUUGGAUUUAGAAUGUAAAAAACAAUAAACAGGUGUAAAAUAGCGAUUCUGAUAGAAUAUUCAAACCAUUAUGCAAGAAUAGUUUAUUUUGUAAGAA